rnacentral:rRNA from 1 species
AGUGAACGCUGGCGGUAGGCCUAACACAUGCAAGUCGAACGGCAGCACAGAGGAGCUUGCUCCUUGGGUGGCGAGUGGCGGACGGGUGAGGAAUACAUCGGAAUCUACCUUGUCGUGGGGGAUAACCUCGGGAAACCGGGACUAAUACCGCAUACGACCUUCGGGUGAAAGUAGGGGAUCGCAAGACCUUACGCGAAUAG